rnacentral:rRNA from 1 species
AAAGGUAAGCUACUAAGAGCGAAUGGUGGAUGCCUUGACUGGUAAAGGCGAUGAAGGACGUACUAGACUGCGAUAAGCUACGGGGAGCUGUCAAGAAGCUUUGAUCCGUAGAUUUCCGAAUGGGGCAACCCAAUGUAUAGAGAUAUACAUUACCUAAUAUAGGAGCGAACGAGGGGAAUUGAAACAUCUUAGUACCCUCAGGAAAAGAAAUCAAUAGAGAUUGCGUCAGUAGCGGCGAGCGAAAGCGCAAGAGGGCAAACCCAGUGCUUGCACUGGGGGUUGUAGGACUGCAAUGUGCAAGAGGUGAGUUUAGCAGAACAUUCUGGAAAGUAUAGCCAUAGAGGGUGAUAGUCCCGUAUGCGAAAAACAAACCUUAGCUAGCAGUAUCCUGAGUAGGGCGGGACACGAGGAAUCCUGUCUGAAUCCGGGUCGACCACGAUCCAACCCUAAAUACUAAUACCAGAUCGAUAGUGCACAAGUACCGUGAGGGAAAGGUGAAAAGAACUGAGGUGAUCAGAGUGAAAUAGAACCUGAAACCAUUUGCUUACAAUCAUUCAGAGCCCUAUGUAGCAAUACAGGGUGAUGGACUGCCUUUUGCAUAAUGAGCCUGCGAGUUGUGGUG